rnacentral:rRNA from 1 species
CGCGUAGGCGGUUUUUUAAGUGAGGCGUGAAAGCCCUGGGCUUAACCCAGGAGGUGCGUUUCAUACUGGAAGACUUGAGUACGAGAGAGGAAAGCGGAAUUCCUAGUGUAGAGGUGAAAUUCGUAGAUAUUAGGAAGAACACCAGUGGCGAAGGCGGCUUUCUGGCUCGUAACUGACGCUGAGGCGCGAAAGCGUGGGGAGCAAACA